AAGCAGCCAAGAGGAGCAAGCCAUGCAGAGGGAGAACUGGAACCAGCAGUGGCACUUUGCAAAAGUGGGGAAGCGAAAAGAAUAGACAGUGCUAAUCAGCAAACUGAAAUAGGGAAAUGCAGAGGACCUUUAGAAAGGAGCUGGGGAAAAAACUGUCAGGUCUCCUCAGGGAGAACAUGUGAUAUUAUGGUGGGGGUUAUUAAAGGCUGUUUGUUCAGAUCAAUUAAUUUCUUUCCUUGGCAUUUUUAAAGGCAAACGUGAAUUUUUGAAGUGGAGAUGAACACUUGCUUUGUUUGUUCAGGAAAAAAACCAACCCAGAAUCAUCUUUUGCCAUAGGAAUGAGGGUUAUGCAUCAGAACAUUACAACAUAUGAGGAAAAUCUGGGGAAGAUUUAAUCAAGUUU
rnacentral:lncRNA from 1 species